CUCGCUAUUUCCCAUCUCUUGUCAGACUGUUGCCCGACUCUCUGGCUUCUGACUCAUCCCUCUGGAAAAGCCGGAAUGUUCUGCAUGCAAUCAGAAUGCAAUGAAUAUUUAUUUUCUUUGCAUCCUUUCCAUUCUGCCCAGCUAGCGCCCGGGUAACUCUUCCCCCUGUUCAUUUCAGAGUGUGACUCCCACUGCGUCAGCUGUUCAGUUGGAGAAAGGCCACUCAAUUAUCCAGCCACAAUAUACAAUGUAAUUGACAAUCAUCCUUGGGCUGAGACAUUUUCUCCUUGGAGACUCCCCUGAUUGAAGUUGGGCUACGUACACAUGUGAGUAUAAACAUAUUUCCCAUAUCUUUUUGACAUUCAAAAGGGCUUGUAUUCCUAAGAACAAGAAGAGCACUUGGUAUUUAAGAGGAUGUCAGUGGGCUGAUAAGAUAAAGUCCUGGGAACAGUUUUCCACUCUGGGAAAUGUCUGGGAUGUACGUUGAGGGGUAAGGGAGUUGUCAGGCCAGUUGUGUGAUCCAGUUCCCUGGAGAUGAAGUUUCCUCCUCAAAAAUCAUUUCUUGCCAUUACUUAUUACUUUGCUGCCAUUGGGUCAAGGAAAAAUGCUUUAAGGCUUCUAAGCUUUAGAGUCCACGGCAUGGGGCCGUCUCAUGAACAGAAGGAUGGAAGAAAGAACAUUUCCCAACGUGUUCCUCUUUGUACUGAAGGUCUCUGGAUUCCCUGGCAACCUAGGAAAUCGAACUCCCUGGCCUUGGGUCACUUAGCCUUGUCCUCGGAGACGAUGCCGGCCAAAACCGUGAAGGAGGUGAGGCUUGUGUUCCUUCCGUUGUUCUUGUUCGCUGCUCCCUGUUGUCCUUCGUGUUGCCCUUUGGGGGCCUCCUGUUUACAAAGGUCUUCUGGUGCAGAUCCUACUCUGUCUUCGUCUUGCCCUCAGAAACACGUUUGCGAGCUCUCUUGUGGUCCUCUACUCUGGUACCAUCUAAACUUACCUUAACUCUGGAUGACUUCUUAUAGAGCCGAUAAACACAUACAUUCAUUCAGCAAGCCCAUGUUGAAUCCUUACUGUGUGCCAGGCCCUGUACUAGGCUCGCAGGUGACUGGCCGUAACAUAAUCCAGUCCUCGUAGUAGAACGGAGAAGAUCAACAACCUUGCCAGUGGUGAUGAAACCGUGUGAUGAUCAUGGAUGCAUGUCACAGGGUUGCCAGGAGGAUUAAGAGAAUGGUUGUAAAGCCCUUAGCACGGUGCCUGGCACAGAAUGAGUAUCACGUGCAUGUUUAUGAAACAAAUUACAUGCUAGAAGCAGGUUAUGCCCUGGGGGCUGUAGGAACACAUGCUAAGACCACCCAUCCCAGCCUGAAGUACUGAGGUCCCAAGCUGGGUUGAACGUGGUUUAAGGGUUUAGCCAAGUUAAGAUGUGGAAGAAACAUGUUCCAUGUAGAGGGAACAGCAUGUGAACACGAAGGAACAUGACAUAUCUUGGGAAGCUCAGAAGUUCCAUUAUGGCUAGAAUGUAGGUAACGUGAGAAGGAACAGAGGUUAAGACUCAGACCGUGUGGUCCAUGGUGGGUAAAUUGCCUUCAUGGGCCUCUGUCAGCCUCUAGUAUGUAAAUUGUGCUUUGCCAUCAAGGGACAUUGGGCAACAUAAAGACAGUUUGGGGAAAUACUUUGAGGUCUUAAGUACCCUUUAAGGUAACAUUAUGACCUGUGUGUAGAGUGUUUUUUUCCUUCGGUCAAAUAAUUAAACCUAGAUGAACCACAGCAUGUUUGAAAAAAUAAAAAAAGGUACCGAACCUUCUAGACUUGACA
ensembl:lncRNA